rnacentral:rRNA from 1 species
GAACAUACCUAACUGUUGCUUCGGCGGGCAGGGGGUCCCCUCGGGGACGCCCUCCCGGCCGCGGCCCCCUACCGGGGGACGUGGCGCCCGCCGGAGGAUACCUAACUCUAUUUUAACGACGUUUCUUCUGAGUGGCACAAGCAAAUAAUUAAAACUUUUAACAACGGAUCUCUUGGUUCUGGCAUCGAUGAAGAACGCAGCGAAAUGCGAUAAGUAAUGUGAAUUGCAGAAUUCAGUGAAUCAUCGAAUCUUUGAACGCACAUUGCGCCCGCCAGCAUUCUGGCGGGCAUGCCUGUUCGAGCGUCAUUUCAACCCUCAAGCUCCGCUUGGUGUUGGGGCCCUACGGUGGACGUAGGCCCUUAAAGGUAGUGGCGGACCCUCCCGGAGCCUCCUUUGCGUAGUAACUAACGUCUCGCAUCGGGAUCCGGAGGGACUCUUGCCGUAAAACCCCCCAAUUUUUCA